AUGGCGAUGUCUCCGGCGGCGGGCAGGACGCCCAACCCCAAGGCGGCGCCGUCCCCGUCCCCGUCCGCCCGCCGAGCCGGGGCGGAUUCGGCCUCGGCCGCCGCCGCCGCCGCCGCGUCGGACACCAAGGCCCGGUUCGAGGCGUACAACCGGCUGCAGGCGGCGGCGGUCGCGUUCGGGGAGAAGCUCCCGAUUCCGGAGAUAGUGGCCAUAGGGGGCCAGUCGGACGGCAAGAGCUCGCUUCUGGAGGCGCUCCUCGGCUUCCGCUUCAACGUCCGGGAGGUCGAGAUGGGCACCCGCCGCCCCCUCGUCCUCCAGAUGGUCCACGACCCCACCGCCCUCGAUCCCCGGUGCCGCUUCCAGGAGGAGGACUCGGAGGAGUACGGGCACCCCAUGGUGCAGGCCGCGGCGAUAGCCGACCUCAUCAAGCAGCGCACCGAGUCGCACCUCCGGACGAUCCAGGCCGCCGUGUCGUCCAAGCCCAUCGUCAUGAGGGCCGAGUACGCCCACUGCCCCAACCUCACCAUCAUCGACACCCCAGGUUUCGUGCUUAAGGCUAAGAAAGGUGAGCCGGAGAGGACGCCGGAGGAGAUCCUGUCGAUGGUGAAGACACUAGCGAGCCCGCCCCACCGCCUCAUUCUGUUCCUCCAGCAGAGCAGCGUCGAGUGGUGCUCUUCACUCUGGCUCGAUGCAAUUAGAGAGAUCGAUCCCACUUUCAGGCGCACCAUGAUAGUCAUCUCCAAGUUUGACAACCGACUCAAGGAAUUUACCGAACGGUGGGAGGUCGAUAGCUACCUGAGCGCAAGCGGUUACCUUGGGGACAAUAUCCACCCAUUCUUUGUGGCUCUUCCAAAGGACAGAGGAACAAUCUCCAAUGACGAGUUCCGGCGGCAAAUAUGUCAGGUAGAUAUUGAUGUGCUGCGACACUUGCGUGAUGGUGUGAAAGGGGGUUUCAAUGAAGAGAAGUUUGGUCCGUACAUUGGGUUUAGCUGCCUCAGGAAGUACCUGGAGUCUGAACUUCAGAAGAGGUACAAAGAAGCAGCUCCAGCCACCCUAGCAUUGUUGGAGCAGAGAUGCAGUGAUGUCUCGAUGGACCUAUCCAGACUGGACUCCAAACUGCAAGCAACCUCUGAUGUCUCUCAGCUGAGGAGAUCGGCAAUGCUUCAUGCUGCUUCUAUCUGCACCCAUUUGCGUGCAUUACUUGAUGGAGCAGCUGAUCCAGCCCCAGAGGUAUGGGGAAAAACUACUGAAGAGGAGCAAAUGCACAGUGGUAUUAACAGCUGGCCUGGCAUCAGUGUUCCUGUAAAACCUCCCAAUUCUAGCCUUAAGCUGUAUGGCGGUGCGGCUUUUGAGAGAGUAAUGCACGAAUUCCGCUGUGCGACAUAUUCCAUGGAGUGCCCACAGGUGUCAAGAGAGAAGGUUGCGAACAUAUUACUUGCCCAUGCUGGAAGAGGUGGGAGCAGUGGGAUGACUGAGGCAGCUGCUGAGAUAGCACGCGCAGCUGCACGAUCAUGGCUUGCUCCUCUUACUGAAACUGCUUGUGAUCGGCUUGCAUUUGUCCUGCAAAGCCUAUUUGACCUUGCAAUGGAGCGCAGCCGCACUGAUGAUUCAAGAUAUCAAAAUGUUGAAAAUAUGGAUGGAUAUGUUGGCUUCCUUGCUGCUCUCCGGUGCUCCUAUUAUAAGUUUGUCAAGGAUUUGUCCAAGCAAUGCAAGCAGAUAGUACGACAUCACCUUGAUUCAGUCACGAGCCCCUACUCCCAUAUUUGUUAUGAGAGCGACUUUCUUGGUGGCGUUGGAACUGUAGCAAACACCCUUCACAGGUUUAAUCAGUUCAGUGGAGUUGCAUCUUUUGACCUAUCAGACAGUGGAUCACUGGAGGAAGGCCAGGAGAAUCUACCACCAAGAGAUCAGCAACAGAUGACUCCACCUGCUAAAGCAAAUGAGAGGGAAAUUCUGAAAGAAAGCCAGCUGACGGUUCCUGAGACGCCUUCUCCUGAUCUGCCAGCUGAUAUACAUGGUGGUAAGAAGAAAGACAAUGGAAAUAUGAAUGACGGUGGGGCAAGGAAAAGACAUGCAAGGAUGGCAGCAUAUGCAAACAGGGGUCACCAUAACAAUGUGACUGUUGGUGGUGAUGAUCUGGUCUCAAGGUCAGGGUCAUCGUACUCCAGCAUAUGUUCCAUAUCUGCUCAGUACUUUGCCAAAAUGCGAGAAGUCCUGAUUGAAAGGAAUGUUCCCUCUGCAUUGAAUUCUGGAUUCUUAACACCAUGCCGUGAAAGGUUGUUUUUAGCGCUUGGAUUCGAGCUGUUUGCUGUAAAUGAUGAGAAGUUCAUGGACAUGUUUGUGUCUCCCGGCGCGAUUGAUUGUAUCCAGAAUGAGCGCCAGUCUCUGCUGAAGCGUCAAAAGAUUCUGCUGUCCUGUUUAAGCGAGUUCAAGAACAUCUCACGGACUCUGUAA
rnacentral:rRNA from 1 species